rnacentral:rRNA from 1 species
AUUGAACGCUGGCGGCAUGCCUAACACAUGCAAGUCGAACGGCAGCACGAAUUAGGCGACUAAUUUGGUGGCGAGUGGCGCACGGGUGAGUAAUACGUAGGAAUAUACCUUAAAGAGGGGGAUAACUUGGGGAAACCCAGGCUAAUACCGCAUGAGCUCUAAGGAGGAAAGCUGGGGACCGCGUGGCCUGGCGCUUUAAGCAUAGCUUACGUCCGAUUAGCUAGUUGGUAGGGUAAGGGCCUACCAAGGCGACGAUCGGUAGCUGGUCUGAGAGGAUGAUCAGCCACACUGGGACUGAGACACGGCCCAGACUCCUACGGGAGGCAGCAGUGGGGAAUAUUGGACAGUGGGGGCAACCCUGAUCCAGCGAUGCCGCGUGUGUGAAGAAGGCCUGCGGGUUGUAAAGCACUUUCAGUGGGGAGGAGAGCUGGUUGGUUAAGAGCUGACGAGUAAGACGUUACCCACAGAAGAAGCACCGGCUAACUCCGUGCCAGCCGCCGCAGUAACAC